UUCCUUUGAGCUCACACAGUCCGUUCUGUGAACCCUCAUUGCAUGAUUUGCUGGAGGAUUAUGGCAGAGACGUCCAAUGCAAUCAUCAUGAUAGAGGAAGUGACUUGGAGCUCAGGGUGGGGGCGGCAGAGGGAGAGAGUCGAGCAGCCAGACCAUUGCCUCACUAGUGAAUGGCAGUGAUUCCAGUUCAUUCCUAGCUCAGAAAGCAACGUUUUGAGCCACAACUGUCACAACUCCAGCUGGUGUGCAGAGAAGCCAGGUUGAUGCCAUCUAUCAAAGUUGUCUCUUAGACCUCAGAGCCAGUUGAAGGGCUGAGAGAGGAUGUGGAAGCCAAUGGAACACAGCCAGCGCAGGAGGCAAGAUUUUGAAAUCUAUGGAAGGCAGAGCAAGAUGGCCAAAAAUAGAAGACCUCACCAAUUGUCCUCCCCACAGGAACACCAAAUUGAACAACUAUCCACACAAAAAAUCACCUUCAUAUGAACCAAAAAUACAGUGAGUAAUCACAGUACCUGGUUUUAACUUCAUAUUACAGAAAGAGACACUGAAGAGAGUACAAAAGACAGUCUUGAAUUGCUGAUGCCACUAACCCCUUCCCCACCAGCAGCCGUGUGGAUCAGAGAGAGAACUGGUGUGCUUGGGGGAAGGAGAGUGCAGUGAUUGUGGGACUUUACAUUAGAACUCAGUGCUGCCUUGUCACAGUGGAAAGCAACCCUGGGCAGAACUCAGCUGGUGCCCCCAGAGGCAGCAUUUAGACCAGCUGUAGCCAGAGGGGAAUCACGAAGCUCACUAAGCUUAGUCUCACCAAGCUCAUUUGCAUGUGACAAAUAACACUGAGCUCAUAGUAAAACAGGGAGCAUAAUUAUCCAGCUUUCUAAAUGAACAGGUCAUUCUAUGAGUGUUAUCUGGUAUAGGUAAAGUGACUGGCCAGUGAAUCAGAAACUGAUUAACAUAUGGCUUAAGAGAUUUUGAUCUCUUAGCUAUAAGAUACACUAAUGAGAGUUUCCUGUGGCAAUAGUCCAAAAAUGUUCACCAUACCUCUUUCUUGGUAGUAAUCUGGGCAUUUUAUUACUGUGGCUUCUCUAGUAUAGUGGUUUUUAUUUUGUCCUUAUUUAUGUGAGUUGGGGUUUCAAAAUACUCUGAUUUAAAGAAAAAAAAGAGGGCAAGCAAGGUGGCUCACACCUGUAAU
rnacentral:lncRNA from 1 species